rnacentral:rRNA from 1 species
UACGAAGGGGGCUAGCGUUGCUCGGAAUCACUGGGCGUAAAGGGUGCGUAGGCGGGUCUUUAAGUCAGGGGUGAAAUCCUGGAGCUCAACUCCAGAACUGCCUUUGAUACUGAAGAUCUUGAGUUCGGGAGAGGUGAGUGGAACUGCGAGUGUAGAGGUGAAAUUCGUAGAUAUUCGCAAGAACACCAGUGGCGAAGGCGGCUCACUGGCCCGAUACUGACGCUGAGGCGCGAAAGCUGGGGGAGCGAACGGG